GAUGGCGCCAUCUUGGGAGUGGCAGAAGCGUGAUCCCCAUUUGAUGCAGUCAGGGGAAGGCCUGGGCGCAGAUCAGCUUUUUGGGAGAUGUCGGGGGCGAGUCUCGCGAGUGUAAGACAUUCACACAUCCCAGCGAAAGUGGAUGGAUCCGUUUCACUAGAGCAAGGGAAGGAGACUUUUCUGUCACUUAAGCACUGCCCAGGAGAUGGGGAGCCUCAGCUCGGUCACUGGUAAGUGUCAGAGAAGGCUUGCCGUGGCACCUGCAGAGCCAGUGGAUGACCCUGGACGCCAGCCAGCUCUGCAGUCGUUGGGGCUGCAAUUUGAGAAUUCCUGAGGAUGGGCAGAAUCUGAAGAUGCUGCUGCUUUGGCUCUGAUUCAAGCUGGUGCUGAACAGCUCUGGGCUCAGACCAGAGUUGGUAACGUUUGUAGGUCCUCACCAAGAGUCAGCACUCAAUAGACGUUUCCUAAACUGUAACCAUAGUUAUUGUUAUCUUUUACUUCUAGCUUCUGGCUCCUCAGGAGCCCUCGAAGUCCCCUCCCCUCCUGUGACUCUUCUCACUCUGAGCCUGGGCAGGUGUGAGCCAGGAGACAGGGAACACAUAACCGGUGGGGCAAGUCCUUGGCCUAGGCUGAAGAUUUCCUUAAUCUCAGUAUCUUUGUACAGGGGGAGUCAGAGGAUUUAGAUCCUCUGUUUCUGAUGAGAGAGAGGAAGGGGAGGGUGGACAGUGACCAAGAGGUUCUCAGAGGCAGCCAGCAGACCUCCCAGAAUGUGGCAGGUGAAGAUGGAGUUCAGGGGUGUCCUGAAGGAGAGGUGGCCUUUCCGCCCAUGAUGUUCUGGCCAGCCGCAGCUGUGGCACAUGGUCCUGGAUCUGGGAUCGAUUGGAGACCAGCAUAUAGACCUCGGGCUGGGUUGUUUGGGCUGCUCCAGGUCGGGAUGCUCACAAGGAGUCACCCUGGGAGAUUGGGGAGUGGGGCAGCCCCCUCAGCCCCUGUCCCUUCCCUCUGAAGGUCAUGCCUGUCCCCAUCUGUGCUCCAGAAAUCCCUUGGGUUCACCCAGGUUAUUAGCUGGGAUCUUGGACAAGGCGCUGAGCCCCUGCUUGUCUUUCCAUCCAACAAGGGGAAUGCACAAUUGGGCCCCACAGGACAUUUGGGAGCAUCGGUGAACUAAUGUGUACAGGGCAUAGAGCCAAGGUUUAGGUAACAACUGGUGACAGAUUAAGGCUGUCUCUGCUGUCUGAGGCCACCCAACUUGGGGGAGGUGGUGAGUAGGAUGGGGGCCUACCUGACUGCACAUCUCAUGGUGCUGUCCACUAUCAAGUGGACAGGGUGGUGGAGGAGGUGAUGGCAGACCACCGUGUCAUUAGGUGUAGUGGACACCCUCUGUAGUUGGGAAUGGACUCGGGAGUGGGGGUUGGGCUGGGUUCUCAUUGGGUGCAGGUCUUCCUUCCUGGGGGCUAUCACUGUGAAAAUAUGAACAGUCAAGUGAGUUGUCCUCCCCACAAAUCCAGUGAUGCCAGAAAACAAGAUGUGUUCCAUCAGGCUGAAGCCCAAAACAAAACGGGGUUGGAUGGCCAUGUCUCAACAGGAAGCCAUGGCGUUAUUCUGUGUCCUUGGAAAAAUCACAGGCACAUCUGCUCUCUGAAGCUGAACUGGUUCCUGUUACCUUCCUGCUACUGCUGCCCGGCAAGGGCUGGGAAAUCACCCAGUCAGCUGUGGCAUCAGCCAGUCAAGACUGAAGAAGCUUGCAUCCAGUAUUUACAUAGACCAAUGGGCACCUGGGCAGGAACUUUUUUAUUUUUUAGUCUUUUUUUUUUUUUUGGUUGGAGGUACUUUUUUCUAUAAAAAUAACUUCUUUGUUUA